AAUGCCCGAAGGGUGACGAAGCGACGCCGCGUGGGUGAUUAAGGCCCUCGGGUUGUAAAGCUCUGUCAGCUGGUAUGAAUGUAAGAAGGUUAAUACCCUUUUUGCUUGACGGAACCAUCAAAGGAAGCCACGGCUAACUCCUGGCCAGCAGCCGCGGUAAUACAGAGGUGGCAAGCGUUGUUCGGAAUUAUUGGGCGUAAAGAGCACGUAGGUGGGUUUGGAAGUCAGAUGUGAAAGCCUUCUGUUCCACGGAAGAAUUGCAUCUGAAACUGCGAGUCUUGGGUAUAGGAGGGGAGAAUGGAACUUCUGGGGGAGCGGUGAAAUGCGUAGAUAUCAGAAGGAACGCCGGGGGCGAAAGCGAAUCUCUGGCCUAUUACUGACACUCAGUGUGCGAAAGCUAGGGGAGCCAACGGAAUUAGAUACCCCGGUAGUCCUAGCCGUAAACGAUGGGCACUAAGUAGAGGGG
rnacentral:rRNA from 1 species